rnacentral:rRNA from 1 species
AUUGAACGCUGGCGGCAGGCCUAACACAUGCAAGUCGAGCGGAUGAAGGGAGCUUGCUCCUGGAUUCAGCGGCGGACGGGUGAGUAAUGCCUAGGAAUCUGCCUGGUAGUGGGGGAUAACGUCCGGAAACGGGCGCUAAUACCGCAUACGUCCUGAGGGAGAAAGUGGGGGAUCUUCGGACCUCACGCUAUCAGAUGAGCCUAGGUCGGAUUAGCUAGUUGGUGGGGUAAGGGCCUACCAAGGCGACGAUCCGUAACUGGUCUGAGAGGAUGAUCAGUCACACUGGAACUGAGACACGGUCCAGACUCCUACGGGAGGCAGCAGUGGGGAAUAUUGGACAAUGGGCGAAAGCCUGAUCCAGCCAUGCCGCGUGUGUGAAGAAGGACUUCGGAUUGUAAAGCACUUUAAGUUGGGAGGAAGGGCAGUAAGUUAUUACCUUGCUGUUUUGACGUUACCAACAGAAUAAGCACCGGCUAACUUCGUG